GGGGAAUAUUGCACAAUGGGGGAAACCCUGAUGCAGCGACGCCGCGUGGAGGAAGAAGGUCUUCGGAUUGUAAACUCCUGUUGUUGAGGAAGAUAAUGACGGUACUCAACAAGGAAGUGACGGCUAACUACGUGCCAGCAGCCGCGGUAAAACGUAGGUCACAAGCGUUGUCCGGAAUUACUGGGUGUAAAGGGAGCGCAGGCGGGCGAUCAAGUUGGAAGUGAAAUCCAUGGGCUCAACCCAUGAACUGCUUUCAAAACUGAUUGUCUUGAGUAGUGCAGAGGUAGGCGGAAUUCCCGGUGUAGCGGUGGAAUGCGUAGAUAUCGGGAGGAACACCAGUGGCGAAGGCGGCCUACUGGGCACCAACUGACGCUGAGGCUCGAAAGUGUGGGUAGCAAACAGGAUUAGAUACCCUGGUAGUCCACACCGUAAACGAUGAUUACUAGGUGUUGGAGGAUUGACCCCUUCAGUGCCGCAGUUAACACAAUAAGUAAUCCACCUGGGGAGUACGACCGCAAGGUUGAAACUCAAAGGAAUUGACGGGGGCCCGCACAAGCAGUGGAGUAUGUGGUUUAAUUCGACGCAACGCGAAGAACCUUACCAAGUCUUGACAUCCUGCGACGAUGCUAGAAAUAGUAUUUUCCUUCGGGACGCAGAGACAGGUGGUGCAUGGUUGUCGUCAGCUCGUGUCGUGAGAUGUUGGGUUAAGUCCCGCAACGAGCGCAACCCUUAUGGUCAGUUACUACGCAAGAGGACUCUGGCCAGACUGCCGUUGACAAAACGGAGGAAGGUGGGGAUGACGUCAAAUCAUCAUGCCCUUUAUGACUUGGGCUACACACGUACUACAAUGGCGUUAAACAAAGAGAAGCAAGACCGCGAGGUGGAGCAAAACUCAGAAACAACGUCCCAGUUCGGACUGCAGGCUGCAACUCGCCUGCACGAAGUCGGAAUUGCUAGUAAUCGCAGAUCAGCAUGCUGCGGUGAAUACGUUCCCG
rnacentral:rRNA from 1 species